UGCGUAGGCGGUUGGGUAAGUCAGAGGUGAAAUUCCGGGGCUCAACCUCGGAACUGCCUUUGAUACUGCCUGACUAGAGUACUGGAGAGGAGGCUGGAAUUCACGGUGUAGCAGUGAAAUGCGUAGAUAUCGUGAGGAAGACCAGUGGCGAAGGCGAGUCUCUGGACAGUUACUGACGCUGAGGCACGAAGGCUAGGGGAGCAAACG
rnacentral:rRNA from 1 species